AUGUUAUGUACGUUUAAUAAAAGGUACAGUCCAUUUCUCAUGGCUUGCUAUGAUCCCGACACUGAUGAAUAUCAAAGUGUCUGUCGUGUAAUGUCCGGCUUCAGGAAGGUGAAGAUGGCUUCUGGUGGUCAAGAUUUGAUAUGGCCUCUUUCUCUGUCUCCACUCUCAAAACCCUAGCUCCACACCAUAUUCUUCAAAAAUGAGGGUGGGAUGCGACAUAGAUGAUGAGAAUCCGAGUCUAGAUUCGACUUGCUAGAAUAUUUUGUGCAGUUGCGUGUUUCAAAAACGAAGAUGAAGGAGCGGAGGUGAAAGAGAACACAAACAAGAUUUUAGCCGUCUUUUUUGCUGAAUUUGGUAUCACAAGUGAUGCAGCAUUGAAGGUCGGUAUGUUCGAGUUGGGUCGCGUCGGGUCAUUUGUUUAUUAAAUGUAUCUCGUGUGGGAAUUGAGUUUGGUUAGGAUGAUAAGUAGUGGAGUUCUGUUUUUCUUUAAUUUCUUGAUCACUCAAAUGAAACUGGUUAAAUUUUUCGCAUUUUUAUGUUAUUGAAUGACACUAUUUACUUAAGUUGUUAUUGUUAACAUCUAUGAAGACAUUUUUUAAUUUAUUAUUGUAUUAACAAUUAA